rnacentral:lncRNA from 1 species
CGCACCCUAGCGCCACAGGUGCUUCACGCUCCCAGCAGCCGCCUCCUCGGCGUGUAUGGAGAAACGGAACCGUCGGUGGGCGCACACAGCAAGAAACGGAAAACCGAGGCAUCCAAGCGCUCCUCUCCCAUCCCCUUCCACCUCCUCCGGCCCUCCACUGAAGCGCCCCAAGGCGGAGGCAGCGCCCACGUUGCCGACGACGUCGGUGCCUGGGAGAAUCAAGGAGGAUUCGGCAGCGACCGCGUCCGCCAAGAGCGCCAGCUCGGGCGAGGAUGUGGCGGCCAAGAGAGGUGAGGAGGGAUUUCCUUCUUUUUGGGACGCACAUGGGUUUGUUGGAUAGAGCUGUUAGGGUUUUGAUGCUUCGUUGCACAUCAAGAAGGGGAUAAGACGGCCAUCGCUGCAGCGAAGAGCUCGCGCAGGAAGAAGGAGCAGCAACAACAGCAGCAGCAGCAGGCGAUGCCUUGGGUGAAGCUGCUUUCGCGGUCCUCACAAGUACAUGGGAAAAAAAAACUAUAGUGUGUAAUUAGG